CAAUAGCGUAUAUUUAAGUUGCUGCAGUUAAAAAGCUCGUAGUUGGAUUUCGGGUGGGAAUGGCCGGUCCGCCGUUUCGGUGUGCACUUGCUACGCCCACCUUGCUGCCGGGGACGUGCUCUUGAGUUCACGCUCGGGACACGGAGUCGGCGAGGUUACUUUGAGUAAAUUAGAGUGUUCAAAGCAGGCCUACGCUCUGAAUACAUUAGCAUGGAAUAACACGAUAGGACUCUGGCCUAUCUUGUUGGUCUGUAGGACCGGAGUAAUGAUUAAAAGGGACAGUCGGGGGCAUUCGUAUUUCAUUGUCAGAGGUGAAAUUCUUGGAUUUAUGAAAGACGAACUACUGCGAAAGCAUUUGCCAAGGAUGUUUUCAUUAA
rnacentral:rRNA from 1 species